UUUUGGACAAUGGGCGAAAGCCUGAUCCAGCAAUGCCGCGUGCAGGAAGAAGGCCUUCGGGUUGUAAACUGUUUUUGUACGGAACGAAACGGUCCUUUCUAAUAAAGAGGGCUAAUGACGGUACCGUAAGAAUAAGCACCGGCUAACUACGUGCCAGCAGCCGCGGUAAUACGUAGGGUGCGAGCGUUAAUCGGAAUUACUGGGCGUAAAGCGUGCGCAGGCGGUUCUAUAAGACAGAUGUGAAAUCCCCGGGCUCAACCUGGGAAUGGCAUUUGUGACUGUAGAGCUAGAGUACGGUAGAGGGGGAUGGAAUUCCGCGUGUAGCAGUGAAAUGCGUAGAUAUGCGGAGGAACACCGAUGGCGAAGGCAAUCCCCUGGACCUGUACUGACGCUCAUGCACGAAA
rnacentral:rRNA from 1 species